rnacentral:rRNA from 1 species
CCUACGGGUGGCAGCAGUGGGGAAUAUUGCGCAAUGGGCGAAAGCCUGACGCAGCGACGCCGCGUGAGGGAUGAAGGUCUUCGGAUCGUAAACCUCUGUCAGCAGGGAAGAACGGUCACUGUGCUAAUCAGCAGUGAAUUGACGGUACCUGCAAAGGAAGCACCGGCUAACUCCGUGCCAGCAGCCGCGGUAAUACGGAGGGUGCGGGCGUUAAUCGGAAUUACUGGGCGUAAAGCGGUCGUAGGCGGGAUGUCAAGUCAAGGGGGAAAUCCCCGCGCUCAACGUGGGAAGUGCCUUUGAAACUGGCAAACUGGAGUGUGUGAGAGGAUAGUGGAAUUCCAGGUGUAGGAGUGAAAUCCGUAGAUAUCUGGAGGAACAUCAGUGGCGAAGGCGACUAUCUGGCACAUAACUGACGCUGAGGAGCGAAAGCGUGGGUAGCAAACAGGAUUAGAUACCCCAGUAGUC